GUCGAGCGGUAACAGGGGUAGCUUGCUACCCGCUGACGAGCGGCGGACGGGUGAGUAAUGCAUGGGUAUCUGCCCGGUAGUGGGGGAUAACUCGGGGAAACCCGAGCUAAUACCGCAUACGUCCUACGGGAGAAAGCAGGGGAUCUUCGGACCUUGCGCUAUCGGAUGAGCCCAUGUCGGAUUAGCUUGUUGGUGAGGUAACGGCUCACCAAGGCAACGAUCCGUAGCUGGUCUGAGAGGAUGAUCAGCCACACCGGGACUGAGACACGGCCCGGACUCCUACGGGAGGCAGCAGUGGGGAAUAUUGGACAAUGGGGGAAACCCUGAUCCAGCCAUGCCGCGUGUGUGAAGAAGGCCUUCGGGUUGUAAAGCMCUUUCAGUGGGGAAGAAGGCAUGGUGGUUAAUAACCMCCAUGAAGGACAUCACCCCMCAGAAAGAAGCMCCGGCUAACUCCGUGCCAGCAGCCGCGGUAAUACGGAGGGUSCAAGCGUUAAUCGGAAUUACUGGGCGUAAAGGGCGCGUAGGCGGCUUGCCAAGCCGGAUGUGAAAGCCCCGGGCUCAACCCGGGAACGGCAUUCGGAACUGGCAGGCUAGAGUGCAGGAGAGGAAGGUGGAAUUCCCGGUGUAGCGGUGAAAAUGCGUAAGAGAUCGGGAGGAAAUACCAGUGGCGAAGGCGGCCUUCUGGACUGACACUGACGCUGAGGCGCGAAAGCGUGGGUAGCAAACAGGAUUAGAUACCCUGGUAGUCCACGCCGUAAACGAUGUCGACCAGCCGUUGGACCCCUUGAGGGUUUGGUGGCGCAGUUAACGCAAUAAGUCGACCGCCUGGGGAGUACGGCCGCAAGGCUAAAACUCAAAUGAAUUGACGGGGGCCCGCACAAGCGGUGGAGCAUGUGGUUUAAUUCGAUGCAACGCGAAGAACCUUACCUGCUCUUGACAUCCUGCGAAUCUCCCAGAGAUGGGAGAGUGCCUUCGGGAACGCAGAGACAGGUGCUGCAUGGCUGUCGUCAGCUCGUGUUGUGAAAUGUUGGGKUAAGUCCCGUAACGAGCGCAACCCCUAUCCCUUUUUGCCAGCGGUCCGGCCGGGAACUUCAGGGAGACUGCCGGUGACAAACCGGAGGAAGGUGGGGACGACGUCAAGUCAUCAUGGCCCUUACGAGCAGGGCUACACACGUGCUACAAUGGCCGGUACAAAGGGUUGCGAAGCGGCGACGUGAAGCCAAUCCCAUAAAGCCGGCCUCAGUCCGGAUCGGAGUCUGCAACUCGACUCCGUGAAGUCGGAAUCGCUAGUAAUCGUGGAUCAGAAUGCCACGGUGAAUACGUUCCCGGGCCUUGUACACACCGCCCGUCACACCAUGGGAGUGGACUGCACCAGAAGUGGUUAGCUUAACCUUCGGGAGAGCG
rnacentral:rRNA from 1 species